rnacentral:rRNA from 1 species
UACGUAGGGUGCGAGCGUUGUCCGGAAUUAUUGGGCGUAAAGAGCUCGUAGGCGGUCUGUCGCGUCGAUCGUGAAAACUUGGGGCUUAACCCUGAGCUUGCGGUCGAUACGGGCAUGACUGGAGUUCGGCAGGGGAGACUGGAAUUCCUGGUGUAGCGGGUGAAAUGCGCAGAUAUCAGGAGGAACACCGGUGGCGAAGGCGGGUCUCUGGGCCGAAACUGACGCUGAGGAGCGAAAGCGUGGGAGCAAACAGG